GGCGAGGGGAGUGAAAAAGAACCUGAAACCGUGUACGUACAAGCAGUGGGAGCACGCUUAGGCGUGUGACUGCGUACCUUUUGUAUAAUGGGUCAGCGACUUAUAUUCUGUAGCAAGGUUAACCGAAUAGGGGAGCCGAAGGGAAACCGAGUCUUAACUGGGCGUUAAGUUGCAGGGUAUAGACCCGAAACCCGGUGAUCUAGCCAUGGGCAGGUUGAAGGUUGGGUAACACUAACUGGAGGACCGAACCGACUAAUGUUGAAAAAUUAGCGGAUGACUUGUGGCUGGGGGUGAAAGGCCAAUCAAACCGGGAGAUAGCUGGUUCUCCCCGAAAGCUAUUUAGGUAGCGCCUCGUGAAUUCAUCUCCGGGGGUAGAGCACUGUUUCGGCAAGGGGGUCAUCCCGACUUACCAACCCGAUGCAAACUGCGAAUACCGGAGAAUGUUAUCACGGGAGACACACGGCGGGUGCUAACGUCCGUCGUGAAGAGGGAAACAACCCAGACCGCCAGCUAAGGUCCCAAAGUCAUGGUUAAGUGGGAAACGAUGUGGGAAGGCCCAGACAGCCAGGAUGUUGGCUUAGAAGCAGCCAUCAUUUAAAGAAAGCGUAAUAGCUCACUGGUCGAGUCGGCCUGCGCGGAAGAUGUAACGGGGCUAAACCAUGCACCGAAGCUGCGGCAGCGACGCUGAUGCGUUGUUGGGUAGGGGAGCGUUCUGUAAGCCUGCGAAGGUGUGCUGUGAGGCAUGCUGG
rnacentral:rRNA from 1 species